AAAACUUCACCUGUGAAUGGGGUCUCCAAUCUCUCCUUUUCUCUCCCUCUUUCUUCUAUGAAUGCAGCAUUUACUGUCUGGGUCAAAGAGGAUGUGUCCUAAAAGGAGAAUGAGAAAUAAAACCCAGAAGGAGAAAGAAAACGUGGAGAAUAUUGCUGAUUGCAGCCAAGGGAAGAGAAUGUUUCCAGAAGGAGGUUACCACUGCGAGGUCAAGUAAGGGACUGGAGAAUGCUUCUGUAUCUUGGCAGGAGUAACGCGAAUAAAAAGCAAUGGGACAGACACUUUGG
rnacentral:lncRNA from 10 species